GACGAACGCUGGCAGCGUGCCUAAUACAUGCAAGUUGAGCGCUGAAGGUUGGUACUUGUACCAACUGGAUGAGCAGCGAACGGGUGAGUAACGCGUGGGGAAUCUGCCUUUGAGCGGGGGACAACAUUUGGAAACGAAUGCUAAUACCGCAUAAAAACUUUAAACACAAGUUUUAAGUUUGAAAGAUGCAAUUGCAUCACUCAAAGAUGAUCCCGCGUUGUAUUAGCUAGUUGGUGAGGUAAAGGCUCACCAAGGCGAUGAUACAUAGCCGACCUGAGAGGGUGAUCGGCCACAUUGGGACUGAGACACGGCCCAAACUCCUACGGGAGGCAGCAGUAGGGAAUCUUCGGCAAUGGACGAAAGUCUGACCGAGCAACGCCGCGUGAGUGAAGAAGGUUGUCGGAUCGUAAAACUCUGUUGGUAGAGAAGAACGUUGGUGAGAGUGGAAAGCUCAUCAAGUGACGGUAACUACACAGAAAGGGACGGCUAACUACGUG
rnacentral:rRNA from 1 species